rnacentral:lncRNA from 1 species
AUAUGCUACGCACACACACACACACACACACACACGCACAAACACACACAUUGCAAAUACUCAUAGACAUAAAAAAUACGAUUUUGAAUAUUUGUUUAAUAUAAAGUGAUAGACCUGUAGAAACAUAUUUAAGGUUUUUUUAUAAGUUUAUUAAAAUAGAAUUAUAUCAAUUUCCCUUUUCCCUUUCUGACUUUCCAGCUCCUCUCAGGUACCCUCCUUUCACCCUUCCCAUAUUCCCCUCUUCCACUCUCAAGUUGACAACAUCCUUUUCUUUGAUUAUUAUUGCUACAGAUAUAUGUAUAUAUACAUAUAUGUACAAAUAUAUAAAUACAACCUGCUGAGUUCAUUAUUAUUUCUUUUGUGAUUAUGGUCAUAGGGUGUUGGUCAAUAGAGGCUCAUUGCUAGGAGAGGCUAAUUUUUCCUCUCUCAGCAGUCAUUAGUUGCUUAUAGUUCUUUGUCUCAAGGCAGAGUCCUAUGAAAAUAUCCCUCUGGCACAUUAGUAUGUCUUUUGAUAUUGCCAUCAUUUCCAUUUAUAUUGUAGUUGGUUCAAUCUUAUUUAUGCAGACAUUUCUAGAAGAGAUUGUUUCACAGAAGACUUCCUGGGAUUCUGGCUCUUACAGUCUUCGGUUGCCUCUUCUGUGAUGUUCCUGAGCAGAAGCUAUAAUGUAGAUGCAUCUACUUAGGCUGGGUGCCCUAUGAUCCACUGAUACCUGCAUUUGGUCUAGUUGUGGUUUCCUGUGAUAGUCUUCAUCUACUGUAAAGACGCUUCUUUGAUGAAGGGCAGUAACUAUACUUAUCAGUGAGUAUAAGGAAUUAUGCUUGCCUAGCAAAAUAGUAGUAGAAGAUCCCUUCUAUGAUCCAUAAAACACCAGCCCCAGAAACUUGGCUAGGUUUCCAGUACCAGGCAUCAUUUCCCUCUUAUCUAGUAGGCCUUAAGUCUAAUGAGACAGUUGUAGGUUACUGCCAAUAUGUGAGUGCUAUUUAUUGUAACUUUACAGAUGUUGGUCAUUAUUGAGGUUCACAGGUAUUGUAACCUGGUGGACUAUUUACUACUCUCCCUUGACAGCUUGCAUAAUAUUUUCUGGUACCAUGAAAAGCAAGAAGGCUUUUUGGUUAGAUCCAGCUCUAAUCACUGAGUUCUGUGUCCAAAGUGUGUGGUAUCUUCAGCAAUAGGGGCUUACCUUCAUACUCAGAGGCAACUAGGGACUACAUCAAUAUUUUACAUUGUUUUAGGAGGCACUUGAACUACCCUGACUACUCAUGUAAAAGGAAGUUUCCAUGCUUUAUACUGGGGGUUAUCUUAGUCUGUGGUUCUUGUGGGGAGCACACACAACGUUCACAUGCACAUAGGGAUCCCUUCUGAUGUUAAGGUCCCGUUUCCCAUUUGGUUCCUGAUAUGUCAGUAAAGAAAGUUGCUGGGCAGAACGGAUAAGUGGGACUUCCGGGUCCCUGGAGGCAGAGAGAUGCAAGGGAAGAGAACGGAGUUUUGCCAUGCUUUGUAGGGAGAAGAAGCCAGCAACCAUGUUAGGUCUUAGGAGGAACUGGGGCCUGUGGACACUACUACAGGUGGGUAGUCAGGGAUAUUUGGCAGUGGCUAGCUACUGAAGUUUAGGGAAGGUAGAAGGAGUGGAGAUAAAAAUAUUAUUAAGGGCAUACUUCUCCAGGCAGGGGAUAGUACACCCAGCAAUUGUGUUUUAAGACAAGUUGGAAAGGAAUAAACUCCAUCUCUGUCUCUGUCUGUGUCUGUCUCUCUGUCUCUCUGUCUCUCUGUGUCUGUCUCUCUGUCUCUCAGUCUCUGUCUCUGUCUCUCAGUCUCUGUCUCUGUCUCUGUCUGUCUCUCUCUCUCUGUGUGUGUGUGUGUGUGUGUGUGUGUGUGUGUGUGUGCGUGUGCAUGUGUGUUUUGUCCAAAGAUUCAAGGGAAGCCAGGUUGGGGCUGGUACCACGGUCACUUCCUGGAGCUAAAUGUGGGUAGAGCAUAAAACUACAUGAAACAUACACACACUCACACACACAUAUAUACUUAUGUAUUGUAUAUAGUACUAAUUAAAUAUAAAAUGAAUCCUUG